rnacentral:lncRNA from 1 species
CCAAGGUGGUGGCUGUAUUGCUUUUAGUGAACUCACAGUAUUGCUUGGUCAUUGGCUGUGUUGGAUGAAAGAGGAAAAAGUGAAAUGAAGAUCGUUCGUGAAUACAUUCUAUUCUUGCUGGGCUCAAUUGCUAUUCUCUUCACGUUGGAAACUGCUUUCGCAUUUACGCUAAGACGCCGCAGGGGGUGGAAAGAUGCGAGUUCAGAGUUUAUUUUUCC